UACGGGGGGGGGCAAGCGUUGUUCGGAAUUACUGGGCGUAAAGGGCUCGUAGGCGGCCAACUAAGUCGGAUGUGAAAUCCCCAGGCUCAACCUGGGAACUGCAUCCGAUACUGGAUGGCUUGAAUUCGGGAGAGGGAUGCAGAAUUCCAGGUGUAGCGGUGAAAUGCGUAGAGAUCGGGAGGAACAUCAGUUGCGAAGGCGGCUCUCUGGACCAGCACUGACACUGAGGCACGAAAGCGUGGGGAGCAAACAGG
rnacentral:rRNA from 1 species